rnacentral:rRNA from 4 species
GACGGCGUCGAGAGGCGCCUGUCCGAUUCCGUGUACUGGAACGACCAUUAUCUACCGCGUACGGUGCAAACAGUUCAAGUUCAACUUGAAGGUGGCCCAUUAUCCCACAGAGGGUGAUAGGCCCGUAGAACGGCACGAUACGGGGCGGUAGACGGUCGGCUCCAUG